GAAAAUUCAGAUGAGGAACAUAAUGGUUUACUUCCUGAAAAUUUGUAUAAAGAAAAGAUUUCAUGGAUGAAAUUUAAAAUGCCGUCAAAUGCCAAUAAGUCUUCUAUAUCCGAAUGUAUGAGUAUUACAAUGAAUAACCGAAGAAAAUGGAUUAUGGAAAAUGCCGUUUCAAUAGAUGAAAUAUGUGAUGAAUUUCCUCGAUUAACUGAUUAUUCUGGGGAGAUGUUUGAUGAGGAAUUUGAAAGGUUAUAUAAAGGAGCUUCUGAUAAAUUCUUAGCAAGAUUUGCCC